rnacentral:hammerhead_ribozyme from 1 species
AUCCAGCUGAUGAGUGCCAAAUAGGACGAAACGUGCGUCCUGGAU